AUAGUUCACAUUUCUCAACAAUAAUAUCUUUUAAAUAAAAUCUUUUGAUAAAACAACUUUUAUUUUAACCUACGAUAUACAGAAAAGACAUAUUCGGAUUGAAGUUUACAAAUGGUAGAGUAUUCCUUUUCAAAAGGACAAGAAAAUAAACUUAAUAUACUAUAUGCACAUUAACUUUGGUAAUUGAAGACCCUUGAAUAGCUUAAUGGAAAGCGAAAGACCCAAAUUUAAGUCCUCGUUGAAACUAACAUCUGACUGUUGAAUUUUUUUUACAAAUCCUACAUACGUACACACUAUAUUAUUAGAAACAAAUAUUAUUCUAUAUUUAAAUUUUAAUUUACUUAACAUGACAUAAUAAGUUAUUUUUUAGGUAUUUAGAUUAUAUGUUUAUUAAAGUAUGCGUAAAAAAAAAUUAUUUCGAAUUUCCAAUAAAAAACGAAUAGCGCAUGACAUUUGAUAAGAUAUAUGUUAUUAUCGUGCCAUUUGAAUUCACGAAAUAGAUAUUUGCGCGUAUAUAAGACCGUGGAAAUGUAGUAGCCAAAAGAAAUUAUUUUAUUUGAUACCAAAUAUACAGAAAAACUUCAUCAUGCGAAAUAUAUUCGUGAUUCUACUUUUUGCUGUAGUCGGAAUUUUGACGUACUACGAAGUAGAUGGCUUUUAUAAAGGACCGGUACCUUUUUUUUGUAAGAGAUACAAGAAAUUUCCGAAACCAAUACUUUGUCGUUUUUAACUUAUCAUGGAUUUCGAAAACAAAUAAAAUGACUAUUAUGAACUACGUAAAGGAAAUAUUAUUUAAAUCUUAUUAAUUGUUUCAAAAGGAAAUGAAAUUUUUUUUUUGUAAAAUAUAAGCAUUACGUGGUUUCUGAAACUACGUUUUUAGAACGCAUUUUGUUUAUAUUAUGCAUUUUCAAUAAAAAAGCCACGUAUUAUGGUUUUCGAUAAGAUAUUAGUAAUGUUACUUUCGUGACAUGUAAAGUUACGAUGUAGAUAAUUGCGUGUAUAUAAGACCAUGCAAAAGUAACUGAUACAGAAAACUAAUUUAAUUGACGUGAAAUACGUAACAAAUUUCAUCAUGAAAAGUACGUGCUUGAUUUUACUUUUUGCUAUAGCAGCAAUUUUGACAUUCUUCGAAGUUAAUGGUGAA